rnacentral:rRNA from 1 species
CUACGGGUUGCUGCAGUGGGGAAUUUUGGACAAUGGGCGCAAGCCUGAUCCAGCCAUUCCGCGUGAGUGAAGAAGGCCUUCGGGUUGUAAAGCUCUUUCGCAAGGGAAGAAAACUUAUCCUCUAACAUAGGGUGAGGUUGACGGUACCUUGAUAAGAAGCACCGGCUAACUACGUGCCAGCAGCCGCGGUAAUACGUAGGGUGCGAGCGUUAAUCGGAAUUACUGGGCGUAAAGCGUGCGCAGGCUGUUUUGUAAGUCAGAUGUGAAAUCCCCGAGCUCAACUUGGGAACUGCGUUUGAAACUACAAGACUAGAAUAUGUCAGAGGGGGGUAGAAUUCCAUGUGUAGCAGUGAAAUGCGUAGAGAUGUGGAGGAAUACCAAUGGCGAAGGCAGCCCCCUGGGAUAAUAUUGACGCUCAUGCACGAAAGCGUGGGGAGCAAACAGGAUUAGAUACCCGAGUAGUC